GUCGUCAGCGCAGACUGCUGGAUAUCUGCUGGAAACCACAGCUUCAGCUCCACCACAUAGUCCUCCCUCAGCUAUGGGUGAAUGCAGAGGAAGGUAUCUGCAACCAGCAGAGAAACUUCAGGGUGGAACAGAAUAAUCCAGAACAUACUCAGACAAAAGAGAAACUGAAGGAGACAGAACUUCUACACACUAAAGAAGGCCAGGAAGAACAAGAACCUCUAUGGGUUAAAGAGGAGCAGGAGGAAGUAGAACCUCCACAAAUUAAAAAGGAGCAAGACGAGCUCUACAUCAGUCAGGAUCAAGAUCUGUUUGAUCUUAAGCAGGAGAUGAUUGAGAUUCCUACUUUCAAGGGAAAUAAGCAUGAUAAAGCAGGUCUGAACAAACAGCAGAUCUUUAACGCAACUAAUAUUCAGGAUGAAGAAGGAAGCCAAUCUCUCAACAAAAAUAGACUUCCCUCUGGUGAAAACUCAAGAAAUGCUAGUAAUCUCUGUGCCUUCAAAAAAACGGAGUCUGAUGAUGGAAUUUACAGAAGUCACAGGAGAACUCAGUCAAAAAAGAAGCAUUAUAAAGAAUAUAAUAAAACUUGUAGUCAUGUGUCCUUUCUGAAAAUCCACAUGAGAACUCACACAGGAGAGAAGCCUUUUUUGUGUAAAGAAUGCGAUGGAAGUUACAGUCAAGCAUCUAGUCUCAGAAGACACAUGAGAGCCCAUACAGGAGAGAAGCCUUUUUCUUGUAAAAAAUGUGAUAAAAGUUUUUAUCGAAAAUCGUACCUCGAAAGACACAUGAGGAGUCAUACAGGAGAGAAGCCUUUUUCUUGUAAAAAAUGUGAUAAACGCUUUAAUCAAACAACUCAUCUCAGAAGACAUGUGAGAACUCAUACGGAAGAGAAUCCUUUUUCUAGACAAAAAUUCUAAUUUGGAAUUAAGGGAAAAUUUAAACCUAAAAAAUAAAUAUAUAAAACCCAAAGCAGAGGACUUGUUAAGAAAAGACGAGCUUAGAAGGAGGAAAAAUUGUGAAAAAGCUUUUUUUUUUCUUUAAUAAAGAAAGAGGCUGGAACUUUACAAUGAGCUAGUACACUAAGGUGGAAACAUUUAACCCCUCUAGUUUAUUUUAUUUCCUUGGUAAUAAAAAAAGACAGAAAUUAGAACUUUUUUUGAUUCUUUAACACAGGUGUUAAUCAUCUAGAAGCCACUAUGAUCACUUGCUCAAAACAAUUCAAUGCAUCAUUGUCACUUUUAAGAUUGACAAAAAUAUUUAACUUUUUCAUGAAAUUCAUUUGUUUAGAAAUACCUCUAAAUAGAAAUGUGUUUUUUUCAAUUAUGGCAUUUAAUUUUUUAAGAAAUUUUGGUGUAGUAAUGUUCUUUUGUUGGUUGAUUUUUAUUGUUAGGUUUUGUACUUUUAGCAAAUUGUUUAAAUUUGUUAAGUUAACCAUUGUGGUUGUAGUUGAGGUUGAGACAUAAGUCUGUGUUACAUUGACAACACCAUAACUAUUUUUAAAUAUAUAAUUCUUACAAUUUUUCUGUGAUUUGUGAUCAUUUGAAUUUUGUUUUAAAUAUAAAAUGAUUGCUGUUUAUGUUGUGUUGUAUCAUGUGAGGAAAUAAAAGUUUUGUGAAGGAAA